ensembl:lncRNA
AUGUCUGAAGACUCAAGCAGCGAUGAAGAAUGGCAGCUGGAUGCACACCCAGUGGCGAAAUGUUGGGAGUGUGGCAAAAAGUUCAGCAAAAUAACUAGCUUGCUGUCUCACUACAAAAGCCACAAUAUUAGAGCUACCUGCCACAUCUGCAAGGUCACUUUCCGACGCCUGACGUCGCUAUCCAUGCACCUGGAUAAUGCACACUCCCCACCGCUUUGCAAAAAGUGCAAUCAGUCUUUCAGUAACGGGUGGGAGUUGAACAAGCAUGCAGAGACACGUUGCAUGGGUUUAAUGCCAUUUCAAGAAGCUCCCUCUUUGAUUUCAGCUAUCAUAUAUCAGAAUAGUGACAACUUUCCUAUUGACGCGACUGCAGAGCAAAGCAUAAAGUCGGUGCUGCGUGACUCAGUGUCGGAGUUGAGGCCUCAACAAAGAAUUGAGAUGGAGCCUGAGAGAGCGGAGACAUCUAAAAACAGUGUAGAGUAUACAGUGGGUGAAGAUGAUAAUGAUAUGGACAUGGAGAGUGAUUGUGAGAAAGCAGAUGAUUCAGCAAGCACUGAAUCUGAUGACGAAGAUAAGACAUACUCUCAACCUGCAGACUUGUGUCCAGAUGAUCCAGAAUCAGAUGGGGGCUCAAGUUCAACUGAAUCUUCCAGUGAACCUUCUCACAGUCCGCACACUGAAACCCCCCCUGCAGCCCUUCCUACUGUCGAUAGUUCAAUAUGCGCUGCGUGUGGUAGAGGGCCGUUUCGGUCAAUGAAGCUUCAUUUGCUGCACUGUAGUGGUAUAAAGGUAAAAUAUCAGUGUUCAGUGUGCAAGAAGCUCUUUCUAACUGAGCUGUCUCUAAAUGAACACUACAUGCCUUUGUAUUCCUGUGAAAUCUGUGGCCAAGUUUUCCCUAACAAGAACUCGUACCAUCACGAGCAGUGUCCCGUGGGAACCAAAUCACCUCUGGUCCUCUUUUGUCCCGAGUCAAUGCCGCAAGCGUGUAACGUAUGCAAAUCCUUUUUCACCACUGCCAAAUCUUUAUUAAACCAUGUCACCAAAGUUCACACGUCAGUGGUCAGCACCAAGGUGUGCAUUAUUACCAAUCCAUCAGUGUUGACUGAUAAAAAGGUUUCACCAGGUUACCGUGGCACCGCAGCCCAGUCAGUCAUCAGUAGUCCCAAUGUAGUCAACCAGGUCAUAAAUGGAAAGCUCUGUUUUGGCCAGACCCAUGCAGGGUGUCUGUCUAGCCCUUCCUUUCUCUCGACCUCGUCCCACGCAGGCAGACCUCCGGCCACUAUAUACAAGGCGUCCUCUGCUGCACCUGUCAGACUGGGGAAAGACGGUGCCUUCGGUCCAACCAACCAGCCUUUAAGCCGUCCCUCUGCACCUUUAUUCGUCCCUCCUGGUGCCGCUGACAAAACUCCAGCCACUGUGGCCUGUGACCCCGUCACCCCACCAAUGCCCACUAUUGUGGCCAUGUUUGAGAACGACAGCCAGGGCGUCGCUUUGAUGAAACGUAUGAACACAGGCUGGCGCUCCAAGGCCCCUUACCCCUGCAGGCAGUGUGGUGCCAUCUUGCGGCAGCCCUCCCUCAUUAUCAGCCACCGCUACCUCCACCGAGGCCGCCGCUCACACCAGUGCCAGUGCGGCCGAGCAUUUAAGCACCGGCUGCACCUGUUGCGGCAUUGCGUUCAGCACGCGGAGACCAUCAGCUACAUCUGUGUCAGCUGUGGGGAGACUUUCACAGGAGCAAAACUCUUAGCUGAGCACAUGAAGGGCAAGUCACGGAAGAAAUCGCAUUCUGCACGUACAUGGAAACUUCAAGUUAAGAGAAAGUGCAGAAUGCCCUUUACAUGUGACUGUGGACAACUCUUUUUUAGGCCUUCGGCUUACAUAUGGCACCAACUUAAAAACGGGACAAAAACGAAACGAUUGAAGACGCCUUUAGAAUGA